rnacentral:tRNA from 1 species
UUAAUUAUAGCUAAAAAAGCAAAAUCACUGUUAAUGAUUAGAUAAGUGUAGACUUUAAUUAAG